rnacentral:rRNA from 1 species
UUAAAAAGCUCGUAGUUGGAUUUCUGUCGAGGGCGGCCGGUCCGCACUAUGUGCGUGUAUCUGGUUCGGUCUUGGCAUCCUCUUGGGGAUCGUUCGUGUGCUUGAUUGCAUGCGACGGAAUUCAAGACCUUUACUUUGAGGAAAUUAGAGUGUUCACGACAAGCUAUCGCUUUGAAUACAUUAGCAUGGAAUAAUAAUAUAGGGCGUAAGUUCUAUCUGUUGGUUCAUAGAAAAUACGCAAUGAUUAAUAGGGAUAAUUGGGGGCACUCGUAUUAACGCGUCAGAGGUGGAAUUCUUAGAUUGCGUUACGACGAACUACUGCGAAAGCAUUUGCCAAGGAUGUUUCAUUUGAUCGAGAACGAAAGUAUGGGGAGCGAAGACGAUUAGGUACCGUCGUAGUCUAUACCAUAAACUAUGCCA